rnacentral:lncRNA from 1 species
UUUUUUUUUGUAUUUAGUCCUAUAGAAAAAAAAAAAUUUACAAAUAGGCACACAAAAUUUAUAUUUACAAGAUUAAUUUUAUUCCCAUCAUGCAAGCGUCACACGAAUGCCAUAUGGGCAUGAUGAUAGGUUAAGUUGAACACAGUAAAUCAUUCACGAUAUUUGAAUACUAUGAAUGAUUCACCGUGUCCUUACUAAAUUAUAAAUUCGAAAUAUUACGUAAUAUCAUAGUACGAAAAUAAUAAAACACGGUGAAACAUUCACCGUGUCCAACUUAACUUCCACGCUCGUGUGGUGCUUACGUGGUAGGAAUAAGGUCAAUCUUGCAAAUAUAAAUUUUAGGCUAAACUGCAUAAAACCAUUCUGUCAAAACCCGAAUUUUCACUCCCCCCUCCUGUCAUUUAAAAACCUACAAUUUGCUCCCUUAUAAAAUGAAAAAUGUUCACGGGAGGAUAUGAUGUGUAAAAUGACCAUUUUGCUCCUUACCAUUUUCGUCUCCUCCAUCAUCUUCCUCAACUGCCGCCUCGAUCGGCCGCGAUUUCUUUCAAUUUUCUUCUCCACUUGCUCUCCUUCUCCUCCUACACCCUCGCCACCCCUCAAUUUUGGCGACAGUAGGGAGGAAAUCGAGGUGGGCGUUGAUGGAGAGGUAGGCAAGGGCAACGAGGGCUAAGGCGAGGCGGCGGAAGAGGGAGAAGGGGAUGUGGGCGAGGGCGAGGCAAUGGAGGAGGGUGAGGCGGCGGCGAGGCGGCGAGCCGGAGGGAGGCGAAGCAACAGGAAAGAGGGUGAAGAGGUAUUUUUGGCACAAAAAAAUAUUUUAUAACGGAACCCUAACGGUAGGGGAUGAAGUGCACAUUUUUUAUUUUACAAGGGGGCAAAAUGCAGGUUUAAAUAACAGGGGGGAAAGUGAAAAAUUAGAUUUUGACAGGAGGAUUUCUGUAAUUUAGCCUAAAUUUUAUAAGGCUAUUUAGAUUUUUUUUUUUCGGGAGGCUAAAUGCAAAAAAAGCCCAAUAGCGAGCUUUCU